rnacentral:rRNA from 1 species
AUAUCAGUAUGCAUAGCAUAUCAAUAAGCGGAGGAAAAGAAACUAACAAGGAUUCCCCUAGUAACGGCGAGUGAAGCGGGAAGAGCUCAAAUUUGAAAUCUUAAAGGGUUUCCCUUUACGAAUUGUAGUUUAAAGAAGUGUUUUCUGUUAGAGUUUCGGUAAAAGUUCUUUGGAAUAGGACAUCAUAGAGGGUGAGAAUCCCGUAUUUGACCGUUAUUUCUAGCUUUGUGAUACACUUUCAAAGAGUCGGAUUGUUUGGGAAUGCAGUCCAAAAUGGGUGGUAAAUUUCAUCUAAAGCUAAAUAUUGGCGAGAGACCGAUAGCGAACAAGUACCGUGAGGGAAAGAUGAAAAGAACCUUGAAAGAGAGUUAAACAGUACGUGAAAUUGUCAAAAGGGAAGCGUUUGACACCAGUGUUGUUUAAUUGAAAAUCAAUUAACUAAUUUUUGAUUUUAAAUAGUAUUGACUUUAUCAGCUUGCUAUUUUCUUUUCGGAAAUUAUUUAAUGCACUUUUCAGUUAACAAGUCAACAUCAAUUUCUUUUGUUGUAAAAAGGUAAGAGGAAGGUGGCUUAUGCUUCGGUAUAAGUGUUUAUAGCCCUUUACCUCUGCAAUCGGAGAGAUUGAGGUCUGCAGCGUAGAUCCUUCGGGGUUAGAUACAUUUGUGCUAAGUUAUAGUAUUUUAUAGACAACUUGUUGACUAUAAUUUAUCAUGUAGCUUACUCGCUUAUGCUAUUUUACCUACGCUUAGGAUGUUGACGAUCAGCUGAGCGCG